ensembl:snRNA U4 U4 spliceosomal RNA
AGCUUUGCACAGUGGCAGUAUCAUAGCCAAUGAGAUUUAUCCAAGGUGCGAUUAUUGCUAAUUGAAAACUUUUCCCAAUACUGGGCAGUGACAACUUGCAAUAUAGUCAGCACUGGCAGAUCUUGACAGUCUCUAUGGAGA